GACAGAGGGUGCAAACGUUGUUCGGAAUUACUGGGCGUAAAGCGCGUGUAGGCGGCUAAGUAAGUCGGGCGUGAAAUCCCACGGCUCAACCGUGGAAGUGCACUCGAAACUGCGUAGCUAGAGUCCUGGAGAGGAAGGUGGAAUGCUUGGUGUAGAGGUGAAAUUCGUAGAUAUCAAGCGGAACACCGGUGGCGAAGGCGGCCUUCUGGACAGUGACUGACGCUGAGACGCGAAAGCGUGGGGAGCAAACAGGG
rnacentral:rRNA from 1 species